CUGGGCGGCGCUGCCUGCGGGCUCGCAGCGCCGGGUGCGGCGGCGAGUUUUGUCUCUGCGGGCGAACCGGAGGGAGGCCGCGGGCCGUGCGGGUGCAUUCUCGUUCCCCGAUGUGAGAGUCGUUCACUCGUUCGGGAUUGUGCUUCUCAAAAUCGACCCCAGCAUGGCCACCGCUGGGCACCUGCGGUAGAGGCCGUGUGCACUGGGCCGCGAGGAGCAGGCCGCCGCGGCGGAGAGCGGUAGCCCCGGCCCCCGUGGCCCCGAGCCCCGGGGCUUCCGUGCUCCUCCUUACGGGUAGUGGUAGUCGAACGGGGGCCAGGCCGUUGGCUGUAAGCCGGUUAGCAGCAAAGAAGCUGGAGAGAGAGGAUGACCCAGUUUUCAAGCCUCUCGCAGGUGAGAGAGGCCUAACGUUUAAUGCGACAAUAGUAUCGGUAUUGAAGAGGAGGCCGAUGACGUUUAGAGGACAAAUUUGCCUCUGUGCCGAUUCCGAUCGACCCAGCCCCCUGCUAGCCUCCUUUGUGUUCUGUGCUCCCAGGCUUUCUGUGACUUCCUCACCAGGAUUAAGAUGUUGAGAAGAGACUGGUUGAGGUUGGAAGGAACCUCUGAAGGUCAUCUGGUCCAACUCCCCUGCUCAAGGAGGGCGACCUAGCAGACUCCCUUCACCUUCCACGGAGGCUUUGCUGCAGUUGAAAUAAAAUGAAGGUGUUUGGAAUACAGAGUAUCAGAUUCCAGGAACAUUCAUGAAAACUGCAAAAUUGAAAGCAAGAUUUUUCUAAGAAAAUUAGAUUUCUUAUUUGUAUCCUGUGAAUUCUGGUUCCUUUAUUUACUAUUUCAAGCAAAGUGUGAAUGGAAAAUCUAAUUUCUUGGGAGCUACAAUCAUAUUUCUAAAAAUGAAUUUGCAUAAACAGAAAAAAAUAUAUCUUGCAUCUCAGUAGUAUUUUCAGGUCUCAGUUAAUUUGACCCUGGUAACUCAUGAGAAUGCAGUCAAGCUGACAGGAGAUUACUAUUUCAGAUACUUCUUUGCCAGAGAUGGGAACAUUUCUUUUCUAAUAUUCUAGAUCAUUCAUGUUUUGUAUAUGUCAGAGUUUUGAUUUUUAGCUUGAUUAAAUUGUUUUAAGUACUUUGAUUCAGCUUAAUGGCCUUUCUGAAUGUAAUAUUUAAUUUAAAAAUGGAAGUUAGUAGAAUUUUAUAAAAAUGAGCAGUAAUGAGUUUACAACAGAGUGCGUAGUAUUAACUAGGAAUCCGAUAGUUUGCCACAUAUUGACAAUUUCUUGUCUGUCAUUAUAUGCUUUGCAUUUCAAUCUGAGUAAACUUUGGUAAUCAGGUUAAAAACUCAUCUUGUUGGUCAGAAAAGAUGUUUCCAGACUGACUUGUUUCUCUCUCAUUCUUUGAAUGGAGUUGGGAUUAAUUAACCUAUUUAAUAGAUGAUAGUGGCACAAACAGGUGCUGCCAUGGUUGUAACUGAUGAAAUACAGUGUAGGAUUAGAGCUGGAUAGUGAAUGUAUCAGUAGGCUGAAAUUACAGUUUAGACUUUGCUCCUGUACAUGGGAAUAAGGUUACAUGUGACAAGCAUGGCAAACUAAAUUAUUUUGUCUUUAUGAUUCCUGCUGCAAAAGAAGAAUAAUAUUACCGUUUCAUAGUCUUUUCUCCCUCUAUGUUAGAAAGGGCUUAUUCUAUGUAAAGAGAUGGUGGUAGGACAUUGGUGCCGAAACAUGCCAGGUCAUUAUCACCUUUCCCACAGAGAUGUUGACAAUUCAGUUGCAGGGUACUAGAAGAGUGGCAAUUGAACAUUUAUUUAUCAUCCUCAAGAGUACAUGUUUGGUUCGAGUAUCUGUUUCUAAAUAUUAAUUAUUUGAUGUUUCUGCUAAAAAUUAAUUUCUACACUUUUAUGCAAAACUUUAAGGCUCUAAGUGUUCUGGCAGUUGGCAUUGUUUCAGGUUGUACCUUUGAUUGCUUGAGGGCCAUAAUCAAUGUAGGUCAUUUUUUGUACACAGCACAUGGGUCUUGGGGGGGGCAGAGAGAAUUCUUGAGAUGAGAAAGGGUGGAGAGCGGGCCAUAGAUGUCUUGUGUGCUAGUGCCUAACCUCUGUGAGGUACAGGUUAGUAACUGCUACUUUUCGUAAGAGAUUGCAUGAGUGAAUGGAGAUGCUGCUAUGGAUGGUGGCAAGAACAUCAAAUAUUUGAGCUUCAUCUUUAAUGAGGGAUGAGGAGGAGCAAGAACUAGAUUUUCAGGAGAAAAUGUAAGGAAAUAAGUUACUUUCUGCUUCAUUUCAGCAUCACGGUACCUUGUGAGUAAAGUCUGCUGUUCACUACCUGGUUGACAGUUUGUAGGUAUCACCCCGCUGCUAACUCAGUCCUCAGGAACCCCUGCCAGUCACCAUGACCUUUCGAAGAUAAUCAAGAGUGGCCUUGCAAUGAUACUGGCCACCUCCCUCAGUCCUUGUGUGUGUAUCCCAUCAGAUCCCAUGGACUACAUACAUCCAGGUUGUUUAAAGAUCCCUAACCUGAUCCUCCUCUACCAAGGCCUGUUUUAAAAAGAGCUGAAGUACUACUACGAAACAGGUACUUGACCAGAACUGUUCAAGUUCAGGUUCCGGAUUCUCCAAACAAGAGUGCUCAACUACUUACUUCAAUAAUACCAUUACUUCAAGACCUUAUGAAAGAUUCCUUAUGGGCAACAGCAGAGAAAAACCAAAGAGGGUGCAGAAAGGGAAGAAAAACUAAGAUGCUGCUGACAGAAAAUGUGCAGAUGUCAUGACAAAAAAUACAAGUUACUUAUUUUUACAGUACCGUUAUUAACAAUUUGUCCUAAUGCACAAUUCUUUUCUACUGUUGGAAACUGAGAUAGGUCAUUGUUUCAAGUAUAUCAAUGAUACCAUGUACUAAAUUAAAACAGUAAAAGUUUAUUAAAGACAUUAUUUCUGUAAUUGCAUUUUUCAAAAGUAAAGGAUAAUUUUACAAAUCAUGUGAUUCCAAAGGUGACUCCUUAAUUUGCUCAGAGUUAAGAUAAGAAAGGAAAUGUUAUAAGUUACAUAGGUAUAUCUAAAGAUAUCACACCAGAAAAAAACUGUUGAAAAGUAAGUUACCACAAAAUACCAUGUUUUAUGUAUUUGUGAAUUUUAAAAACUGUACAUACCUCCUGUUGCAACUCUUCAAUACAUUUGGUUUUAUUUUCCACCUGUUUCUUUAUAUUAUUCAACUAAAAGAGAUAUUUCAAACAUUCAUUAAUAAACUCCUAAAAAAUUAUGCACUGUGUUAGAGAUUACUGUCAAUGUUCUUAAACAUGCAUAUGCAUGAGUCUGAUUAAUUCUAAUCGGACUGAAACACAUGCUAAUGUGUUACAAUGAUCAGAGUUUUAACCGUAAAGUACUACAAGAAUUUUGCUAGCCCAGUGUCACCAACAUUAAUAGCAAUGAACCAAUUCCUCAGUGGUUGUAGAGUUUAGAAAGAAGAAGGAAAAAAGAAAAAAAAAAAAAGAGUAACUUUGCAAUUUAAAAAAAAACAACCUUGUAUGAAGUUCUCCCCAGUCCAUGACAAAAAAUGAAUUUUCAUACCUUAUUUUCUAAAAUCUUCAACUGCUUUUCCUUUCUUGAAAUUUCAUUUUCAAUACUCUUAGCCUGGAAUUAUAAUUGUAAAUAUUUCACUUCUACAAUAAAAUUUUGAAAUCCAUUAUGAUAUUUAAAAAAAAAAAAAAAACAGGUAUGCUCUGAAACUACAGUAAGAAAGUAAAAAUAUUUGAACAUAUUUAAACUAAAACUCAUAUUACAUAUUGAAAGCUAAUCCAUACCCCAUCCAUCACUAAGUGGGUAUACAGAAAUAAAAAAAAAAAAAGAGGGUUCUCUGCCUGAAAUCUAACAAAUCUGGACUUUUAAGCCUCUAUGUAAAGAGUAAACAUCCUAGUGAAGGUUCUUGUCUUUUAUUUUAAAAGGGCUCAGCCAUGUGUACAUGUGUUGACUCAAUUGGUAGCAGCACUGAAAGAAAGAAGAAAGCCUCUGUAAGAGAUUACAUCCCCAGGUAGAGCUUUGCAGAAAAAGAAAAAAAAAAAAAAAGUUUUACAUUUAGAUUUUGUCCUACAUGUUAUAUUAUAUAUUUUCAUGAUAAAGCACAUGAUAUGGCAUACAUUUUCUUCUCUUUCAUCCAGUUUACUUUUAAUCUCUUCACCGUUCUUUACCAUCUUCUCCUUCAAAGACUCCAGUUCAUUUCUAAAUGCCAAGUUAACAAGCAUUAGUAAAUAUUUACUUAAUAACUUUAACUUCUUUUCACUAAUGCUAAAUAAACCCAUACUUUAUUUUCUAAAAAAAGCUGCUAAUAUUGAUGAGAACUUCAUACACUGUUCAAUGGAAAUGUUCUUAAAAUGAUGUAAAGUGACUGGUAAGUUAAUGUCUGACCUGUAUAUACUUUUUUGUAAGUAUGGAAAGAUAUUCCCCUUACCUGAGUAAAGUAUAUUCUAAUCUGUAAUAUCAUAAUGCGUCUAUGAAACAUGGAAGGCUGCCUGUCUAUUGGGUUGUUGGUACAUAGACUACUUCAGAGAGUAACGUUUAACCAGUUUCACCCUUUCACAUUUAAUCCAUAACCUUUAACUUCUAUUUUCAUUUCCUUCACAUCUAAGAUGUUAAUGCAGAACAGGAUCGCUCUCUGUAUGUAAUAUGAAGCUAGGGCAAAAAUUGUUCCUGUAGCAAUAGGUAUCACUAAUUUGUAGAAACUUCUACAUGCCCAACAUCAAUACUAAAUAGUUUCUGUUUGGCUAUAUAACCUAAAAAACCCCAUUAAACUAAAAAUCACAGAAAGCAGCAUAUGAACACAACAUUCAGAAUAACUGUGAAGGAAUGGAGUCUACUUCCUUUAAUAAUAUUGUAUAUUAGUAUUUAUUUUUACUUGCCUUAGCUGGCCAUUUGCUUCUUCCAGGUUUUCAACUAGCUGCUUUGCAUUUUCUUCUUUUUUUCUACUAUCCUAAAUAAAGACCCACAUAAGUAAAAUGAAUAAAAUUCAAAGUCACAUCUUAAAAAAUUCGAAGACACCUUAAGCAAUAUCUUGACCUGCCUUAUUCGCACAAAAAAUAGUUCAGAUACUCUACAGAACCAUGUCAUAUUGCAGUUUACCAUAUGAUUUGUAUUUUAAAUUGAAUGUUGUCCUUUAAAAACAGCUGGAAGUUUACAACUUGCCUCGUGACUUUCUUGCAGUUUCUUGAGUUCUGUAGCCAUACCACUUUUCUCUUGUGCUAUUUGUUCCUUUUCUAAUAAAAGCUUAUUGAUAUA